rnacentral:rRNA from 1 species
UCAUUGCACACACAUUUUGCGAAUGCCAACCCCUUUGCGAACUUUACCACUGUCCCACCCCCCCCAACUGGCUCCGGCCGGCACCAAAAGUCUCUGGCCAAACACGGCGAAUGCCUCUCGUCGUGUUUGGUUGGCUGAUCGAAACCCGGCGAGGGGCAUCUCGUCGUGUUUUGGUUGGCUUAGGGGACUUGGUGUUUUGGGUUCCAAACAAUCAUUGGAUGGCGCAAUGCAUCACUUUCAAAUAUUUGGCUGAGUGUACCACAAGGAGAAUCUCGCGGCGGGGGCACCACCACCACCACCACCACCACCACCACCCCGACCCCGACCCCGGAGUUGGAGUUUGGAGUUGGAGUGAGUGCGGGGUGGUGCCAACCCCCCCCGGGGUUCGAGUUGUUAAGUGAUAAAAAACCAAAAACAACUCUCAGCAACGGAUAUCUUGGCUCCUGCAACGAUGAAGAACGCAGCGAAAUGCGAUACGUAGUGUGAAUUGCAGAAUUCCGCGAAUCAUCGAGUCUUUGAACGCAAGUUGCGCCCGAGGCUUGCCUCGUGCAUUUCUGUCAGAGCGUCACCGCGCCACCCACCGACCCCCCCACUCCUUGGCCGGAGUGAGCGGGGGCCGAGUGAAACUGGCCGUCCCGGAGCGCCGCCGCAAGCGGCGGCGACUGGGUUGGCUGAAAUGGACUUUGGCCCCGCCGCGGCGACACAGCCCGCGAUCAGGUGAUCCCCCGGAAACAGAAAAGGGUUGUUGAGGGUGCGAAAUUGGUUGGCUGUGGAGUUGGCGGUGUGUGUACCGGAAGCAAAAAGCAGGCAGGCCC